UUGAACCCGGGUACGUGGUGCUGAGAGGUAGCAGUGCUUACCACUGAGCCCACGGUGUGUCAGGUCUCCCAAUUGCGCACCUCUCAGUCUGAAGCCUUCACUCAAAAUCUUUUUCUCCAUUUUGUGUUUAAUGCUUUUACAUUUCAUUCGUUUUCUUUUAGUUCUCCCUUAUUUAGCCCAUACAUUUCCAACAAAGAAAAUCUGUGUAUAUCUUUAUGUCUGUUUGAAAGGGCUUAACGAUUUGAAUGUAAGCAUAAGAGUUCAAGGGAGCUACCUUUUGAGUCUGCGCACUCUCCUCUCACUCGAUAAUCCUCCGCUAUUCCAAACUUCACUUUGACCUACUCCAUGUCCGUACAUAUUCCCCUGAUGUUUAAUCCAUAGCUGAGUAAUCCUAUGUACUUGUCACUCCACAUUCAUCUAUUACACCUAUUGCCCAGUGCUGCUAAUUCUGCUGCCACUUCAUACUCUCCUGGAACCAGCAGCUCAGUUCUUACUCCAGACUUCCCUACCACUUGCAGUUCUGUUGUAACUGUACAUACUCCUAGCACUCCUGGCACCACCAUUAAUCUGAGGACCUCAUGACUUCAGCCCCUCUGUCACUUGCUGCUCAAUUGUGGAUCUUGGCUUCAAAUCACUCUCAACUCCGCUACCUCUCAGCUCCAUUGUCAAACCCGUUUUCUCGAAAUCUCUCCCCGAGCACUGAAACCCACCACUUUUUUCAGUAUUAUGAACUAUGUUAAAUAUUCUAUACAGACUAUUUUCUAAUUCUCUCUGUCUCACACAGGCACACACACACGUACCUGGAAUGAAUCAGUUUUGCAACAAAAAAUUGUUAGAAAUUUAGAAGCAAUGUUUGUCUUUUCGUGAUUGAUGUAGGAUGUUUCAAUCUCACAUUAUGGAAUAUAAAAGAAAGAUCAGUCUCUAUUCUGUGGUGAUCUCAUGAAUGUAGCUUCAUGCACUGAGCUUACACAUAUGUAUCUUUUGGUAUGAGGAAUGAUGAUGUGGAUGUGCUGCUAUUGGACUAGGAUGAACAAAGUCAGAAGUCAUACGACAUCAGGUUAAAGUCAACAGGGUUAUUUGAAAUCACAAGCUUUUGGAGAGCUGGUCAUUAGACAGAUUAAGGCAUUGUAGGAGCAGCAUUCCAAAAGGUUAUGAUUUCAGAUAAACUGAUUGGUGUCAUGCAACAUCCAGUUUGAGGAAUGUGUUUUCGCUGGCCUUUGCAUUUCAUGUUUUGAGAUAGUUCAGACUCUUUCUUUUUGUAAUUCAAAUGCAAUCAUUUCCAUAGAAGAGCAUAUGUGAAAAUCUCAACAGAUUUUGAAUCAAACUGAUGUCUUCUCCUAUUAGCCAAUGCCUAGUGUUUUGUUUUUUUUCCUUGCUUUUAGCCAACACAACAACAAUUUUCAUCUUGUCUCAGAAUAAAGCACUGGCUCAGACCACAGUAGAAUCUAUGCAAACACUUGCAUUUAAAAAGCUGAAACUGACCCUGAUUGUGCGGUCCUGUCUCAGGCCAUUGAUGGCUGAGCGACAGUAAAAUAGCUUGAUUUAGAAAGAUGAUUCGUUGGUUACGAAGGUCUGCAAUGACUAUGAUGUGUACUGCACAAAUGCCAGAAGUUGAGGCAAUUCCUGAUUUCUAACUGGUGGUUGAUUCAGUGAGCAGACAUGCUUUAUGUUGUUGCUCUGACAUAAAAGGAACAAGCUGCUCAGUUAAACGACAGAAGGAGAUUCAAAACACACUAUAUCAAUAAUGUAAGGACUCAGUUCAUAAUUUUGUCACGACUGGAGAAUCUAAAAUCGAUCCUUUUGGAUCAGGAGGGAUUUUACAGUCUCUGUUCAAUCAGUAAGUAGAGAUCACUCGAUGUGGCUGAUCUGCGUGAUUUUUACUGUAAUUCAGCUAAUAAGGCUAAAUAAUGAAAUAUAAAUACAACAAACAUUUUAUUCAUCAGUACGUAUGUCAGAUGAUCAAUUGGUCCAAAAUGUAAAAAACACACAAUAAGUACAAGAAACAUAAUACAGGGGCAUACACAUCACAUUAUUUAUGUCAUAAAUCCCCUGAAAUAAUAAUGCUACUUGCCUUUAAAACUUCUCCGCAGAGUGGACUCUUAACUGACUACAUUGAGAUGGUGAUAAUACAGUAAACAUCCGUCAUUUCGGGGACUCUAUAACAAUGGUAUCACAGAUGCUUGUGCUGAGGAUCUCACCUUGGCUCUCAGUGCUGAUUGCUGAUGUAUCUGAAUGCGGGUAAUGAUAAACUGAGAGAUCCAGGAAUGAAGCUACAGUUGCCGGUUUGGAAAAAUCAGGGUUGCACAAUAUAGACACGAAUGUUUGGAUCAGACAAUUCAGCAAGAAUGAGUGAAGAUAAUCCUGGAUUUGCCUGUUCAACUCUUGCCUGCAGUGAACAAUGAUACUUUGCUUUGGAUUCAUUCUUCGCCCAACUGAAGACAAAUACUGACAAAUUGCGUGUUCUCCUUUUCUGUUCGUUCAGUUCCUCACCUGGACACCUCGUUCCAUUAUAAGCUGCAUCAAAUGUUGACUCUCAGUCACUUGGAUUUAAACACCAACUGAUACAUUUUUACAAAUGGAUAUUUUGCAGCAUUCUUUAUCUGGUGUCUGAAAUUAUUUUGUGUCACCACAUAAAUAAAUGCAUUUGUGCAACAACUUAA